GUUCUUUUAGUUUAAAUUAAAAUGUAAUUUUGAAGAAAUUAAGAUGAUUAGGGAUA
rnacentral:tRNA from 1 species